GAUUAACGCUGGCGGCGUGCAUGAGACAUGCAAGUCGAACGGGUGACUCGGGUUUGCUCGAGUCACUAGUGGCGAACGGCUGAGUAACACGUAGGUGACCUGCCCCGAAGUGGGGAAUAACUGCCCGAAAGGGUGGCUAAUACCGCAUGUGGUCGCAUGUUCAUUCGUGCGAGUAAAGCCGCAAGGCGCUUCGGGAGGGGCCUGCGUCCGAUUAGCUCGUUGGUGGGGUAAUGGCUCACCAAGGCGACGAUCGGUAGGUGGUCUGAGAGGACGAUCACCCAGACUGGGACUGAGACACGGCCCAGACUCCUACGGGAGGCAG
rnacentral:rRNA from 1 species